GAUGAACGCUAGCGGCAGGCCUAAUACAUGCAAGUCGAACGGUGUCUUCGGACAUAGUGGCGCACGGGUGCGUAACACGUAUGCAACCUACCUUACAUUGGGGGAUAGCCUUUCGAAAGGGAGAUUAAUACCGCAUAAGACAGUAACUAGGCAUCUAGUAGCUGUUAAAGAUUUAUCGAUGUAAGCUGGGCAUGCGUCCAAUUAGCUAGUUGGUGAGGUAACGGCUCACCAAGGCAAUGAUUGGUAGGGGAACUGGGAGGUCAAUCCCCCACACUGGCACUGAGAUACGGGCCAGACUCCUACGGGAGGCAGCAGUAGGGAAUAUUGGGCAAUGGACGCAAGUCUGACCCAGCCAUGCCGCGUGCAGGAUGAAGGCGUUAUGCGUUGUAAACUGCUUUUAUACAGGAAGAAACGACUCUUGCGAGAGGCAUUGACGGUACUGUAUGAAUAAGCACCGGCUAACUCCGUGCCAGCCGCCGCGGUAAGAC
rnacentral:rRNA from 1 species